rnacentral:rRNA from 1 species
GACGAACGCUGGCGGCGUGCUUAACACAUGCAAGUCGAACGGAGUGGCGAACGGGUGAGUAACAAGGGGGUGACCUGCCCUGCACUUAGGGAUAAGCCUGGGAAACUGGGGCUAAUACCGGAUUGUGUGGGAUGGGCCCGCGGCCUAUCAGCUUGUUGGUGGGGUAAUGGCCUAACAAGGCGGCGACGGGUCGCCGGCAUGAGAGGGUGGUCGGCCUCAUUGGGACUGGUACACGGCCCAGCCUCCUACGGGAGGCAGCAGUGUGGAAUAUUGCACAGUGGGCGGAAGCCUGAUGCAGCGACGCCGCGUGUGGGAUGACGGCCUUCGGGUUGUAAACUCCUUUCACCAUCGACGCGGUAGAUGGAGAAGACGCACCGGCUAACUACGUGCCAGCAGCCGCGGUAAUAC